UACUUUGCUGGUUAGCACCUGAAA
rnacentral:piRNA from 1 species